GUAAAAAUUUGGUAUAAUUUUUCUUGAAAAAAAAAAAGGUCCGAAGGACUGCCAAAGGUAUUAAUUGGGAAAUCUUUGUGAUUUUUUCUGGCGGCUAGACAAUCUUGAAGAUAGUAUUUCUGUUAGAUUGUUGUUCCUUUAAAGUGUUUUCCGUCUAUUCACUUCAAAAUGGAAACCCGCACAAUUAAUUUCCAAUGCUGUCAGGGGAUUGUUUUGAAGAAUGUCUAACGGAAUUCCUAGGAAAAAAAAACUGUCUGGAGAUGGUUUCUACUGACUUAAUGACAGUACUUCUGAAAAUAAAAGCUUUCAGCGCCAUUCUAGGGAGAAUUAUAGAAGUAAGAGUACUUUGGGGGAAAUUAUAGGCAAAAUUCUAGUAAAACUUCUACAAGCAUUCUGGUGGAAUAUUUAAAGAAAGUUUUAGCAGAUUUUUGGAAUAUUUUUUCAGCAGAAUUCUUAGUUAAAUCCAUGAAGAAACGUGUGGAAGUUUACUCCUCUAAACUUUUCCCGUUGGAUUAGUCCCUAGACUGAUGACACAAAUUUCCCAAAUGAAGGAGAACGUGACUCUGGAUCCGACCUACUGAUACCUGAGUCCCUAGACUUGUAGAAUUCCUGAAAUUUUCAACAUUUUUUUCUUAGUUCUGCUGACUUAUUUCUGGUAUUUUUUUUACCUGUUGGGUACUUUUUCCACUGCGUCCUGUUUUUUGUAAACCAGUCUUUCUGGUAAAACCUAUGGAAGACUUUCUGAACGAAUUCCUGUUAGGAAGAAACAUUGGAUCUGCAAGAGACAUUUUUGCGGAGCUAUCUAGAUUUUCCCAGCCCUCAUUUUGAAUGGUACAAUCCGAUUUCCGGGAUUGUUUUCUCUCUCUUUGAAAUACUGGGAUGAUCCCUAGUGAAAUGCCCAAAAAUAUAUCUGAAGAAUUUUACAGAAAAGUUCUUUCAAGAUCUCUUCCAUCUUUUCAGCGUUUCUUCUUUCAGAAAGCUGAAUAUUUCAUUAGGAAUUUUGACAUGAAAAUACUUUCAAGAUUUUCUUCCUUUAUAACAAUUAAAUGAUUCUGUUCAAUAUAGAAAAUAUCUAACUAUUCCGGUACAGGGAUGCCAGAUAUUUUUAGUAAAAUCGGUGCGACUUUUUGAAAAAUUUGUAUCCCAUACAAAUGUAAACAACUGCCCAAAAACCUGCAUUAGAUACAAAACGCAACCUAUACGAAUGCUUAAAAAUAUGUAUAUCUGGCAUCUCUGCAAAAACCUAAAAAUAGGGGAACAAUUAGGGAACUUUACCAGUCCAACUGACUGAUCUGCAAACUGCAGCUAUGAAAUCAGCUAUAUUGAAAAAUGCGAAAUCACAUAAAACAUUAUUCACCUAUUCUUGAAAGUGAAGAUGAAUAUUUCUGCUGCUCCUAAAGGUGUUUUUGGUACCUGCAGGAUCUAGUCUAUAUCAUACAACUUAAACGAGCAAAUAACGGUUUACAAUUACAAUUUCUUAGGAAGUCUACAAAAAAGGCUUUACCGGACAUCCACCGGACAUGGUUUGAGGAUUAGGUACUGUAAGGUUUUCCUCAAGGGUUCCAUAGUGGAUUCUUCGUGGAAAACUGAAUAACUUCAAGGAUUGAUCUUUUAAUGCACGUACAGAUCCCUCCAGACAUGCUCAAUGGGUUUAAUCUGUUUCUAUUAAGACAAAACAAAUACAUUUCUCAGAAACUCUGCAAUUUUAUUAAUCCGUAAAUUAAUAACAGAACUCUUCCAAUGGUUACUUCAAGCAUUACUCUAAGGAUUCAACAAAGUAUAAUUUCCACAAAUACAUCACAGAGAGCUUCUCUAGGGAUUCCAACAGAAAUUUCAUGAAAAAUGCAUUCAGCUACACCGCAGAGAACUCCGUCGAGAAAAAGCAUUCAUGUGGGAAUUCAAUCAUAGUUUCUUUCUAAGAAAUCCCGAGAUUAUACGAAUAUUUUUGAAUGAUAUUCUUGGCCGGAAUUUUUCCAGUUUCUCUUGGAAUUCAGAAGAAAAAUAAAAAAAAACUCUCAAGAAGCUAAGGAACUGAUGGGAGAAUUGACUGUAUUCUGUGCAAAUCGGAUUUUUACGACUUCGCAGUCUUAAUGAAUCAAACCGGGUUGUUAUCUAACCGGACGUUUCGAUUGCGUAGCCGUUACAUCCGAUUUCCAUCCAAAGUGUCCGUUUUGAUUCAUUAAGACUGCGUAGCCGUCCUAUCCGAGAAGCCAAGAAAUUGACAGGAAAUCCAGCUAAGAUUGCGUCAAAAUUAGGAUUUCACCUUGAAAUUCUCUUAAAAUUCAUCCAGGAAUGCGAGCGGAUGAUUAGAAGUUGCUCAAACGUUAAGGAAUUCCUUCAUGAUUUUACUUAGGACUUUUGUCAGAGAAACCAGAACAAGUAGCGAACAUUUUUCCGAAAAUGUCACUAACAAAUACUUUAAAAAUUCUAGUGGUUUUUUUAGAUUGUGCAAAAAAAAACUUACUCUAAGAAUUCCACAUCAAAAAUAUACCUAGAGCGUUCAAUAGAAAUGCUGUCUGGGCAUUCCGCACCCACGGAUUUCACACGGCAUUUAUUGUAUGAGUUUGCCAGAAGUUUCCCGUAGAUUCCUUCAAGACUUUUUAUUUGCCACGAAAUUACUCCUAUGAUUCAAAUAAAUCCUAAAAGAUAUUCAUCAUUUUAAUAAUAUGUUCAAAAGUGAACAUCUCUAGGAUUGUUUUCGAGAAAAAAUGCCAGAAGCUGGAAAAUUCAGUGAACUUUAAAGAUUGGAAGUUUAUGGCGAUACUGGAUACAUUUCCUCAUUUUUUGGUUUUUGAUUUUUUACAAAAUAACGAAGCAAUAUUUUCGAAAUCGGUUUUCGUGCACAUGCAGGGAAUGGAUCAAGGUAUCUCUUGAUUUUUUUCUUCUGGUGGAUUUUUUUUCGUUUGUGCAAAAACCAAUUUUAAACAAAAUUUCACAAAAAAAUGGUUUCUGCAAAAAUGGAAAACAUUCUUCACCCCAAAAAUUUCAGAAGAUGCCGUGAUGUGCACGGAAUCCAAUUUUGAAAUUAUUGCUUCGUUUUUUAAUAAAAAAAAAUAAAAAACCAAAAAAAUGAGGAAAUGCUUCCAGUUUCGCCUUAAUUCAAAAUUCCGUGAAAAUUAGGUUACAAUAUGUUUGAACAAUUCUGAUUGUAUUCACAAAGAAAUUGGUAGCAGUCCUGGACGAAUUUUUGACGAAAUUCCUUGGAAAACCCUUGAAGUGUUUUCCGUCAGACGACCUAAAAAAAUGUCAACAGCAAUACUACAGGUAUUUCAAUCAUGCACACUCCUGCUGCUGCAGAUGGCCAUCUUUGGGAUCGUUUUAAAAAACAUUUUAUGAAAUUUUUUAAUAAAAUUUUUAGAAAUGACUCCUCUGGAUUCAUUUUCAGAAUAAUUCCUAAGUGAAACAAAAGUACAUUGGUGGAAGGUGUAUCUUAAACAUAACAGACAUAAUUGUGGGUGAAACUUAUCGAGGUAUUUCUACCAGGGAAAUGUGUCAAAUAUAUUGUGGCAAAUCUCUUCAGUACCUUCCUGGCAGAAGCGAAGAAAUCUCAUUGAAAUCCAUACACUACAUUUCGGGAAUUUUGCUUAGUCCUUAGCCUUUGAAUUGCCCUGGAAGAGUGUCUUGCAGAAUCGUUUUGAGGUACACCCCGUCCUGUUUUACGUCCAUCGUUGGCUAAACGAAAAAAAAAUCUAACACCAAGACAAGAAAACUUGACAUUUUUAUAUUUCAAAUCAUAAAAAUGUCAAAGCUUUCUCAUCAUCUUGUUGAUCAGAUGUUUUUCUCGCUCAGCAAAAGAUGAGCGUAAAACGAGGUUGAGGUGUAGGUUAGAAGGUUUUGAGGUAGUUCUGGAGUAAAUUUUAUAGAAAAAUAUUUUUGAAAGUAAUUUUAUGGAUUUUUUUCCUGAUAGUGCCCUUGGAGAGCCUUUGGGAAGAAUUCCUGAAAAGAAGAAAUGUAGGAUGUCUUAGACAACUUUUAGUCAGUGUUGAAAAUGUCAUUUCGACAUAUCAAAAUUCAACCACAUCCAGCUCAUUUUAGAAGCUCAACCUGAGAAUAUGGCAUAGGAAACACUUGUUCGACUAGACCAGUUCUACAAGAAAGUCACGGGAAAACCGAUCAUUUCGAAUAUUUAAGAUAAAUGUAACGGACUAUUUUCUAAAAAUGCCAAUGAUAUACAAUUGGCAUUUUUCGAAGGUAGUCCGUGACAUUUACAGUAUGCGGCAGGAAAAAAUGCGAAAGUGUUUUUCAACUUCAAACCUCGUUUUCGCCCAUUUGACGUUAACCAAUCUAUGUUUCAACGUUCCAUGAUCUCCAAUAGGCUAGUUUUCUGAAAAGUUAAUUAAAAAAUUUACCAUUUUGGUCACUAACUUUUACAGGGCGACACCUGAAGCUGAAGACAUUGAGAAUUUUCAAACCGUAGAAAAGUACACGUGUCGCUAAAUUUCGUAUCUGAUAAAACAAACCUUUUAAUUUUCUCUACAAUAUAAUCAAAUAUACAGUGAUAGACAUUCGUUUAGCCGAGAACAAAAAAAGUGUCAGGAAACUCAUACAAAAGAUUUUAUGAUAAAACUUUUUUAUCGUAGUAAUAGUAUAUCUAGUACAGUUUUAUAAAAAUGUGAUACAUUAAACUUACAUAUACACUGAAACAAAACCGAGGGUAAAAACCCUUCAAAUUUCAUUUUUUGCCUAGACAUUCGUUUAGCCGAGGUAAAUGAAAAAUUGGUUUUCAAUAGAUUUUUUGCAGAGUAUAUUUCGAGAAUAUACUCCAAGGCAUUUAGUUUAUGACGUGUUAGCAAGAUAUUUGACCGUAAAAGUUUAUUUAUUUGUGAAAUUCAGAGAAAUAUUAUAAAAAAUGUCCCGAUAAGGAGAAGCGACGAUAAACAAAUUUAUUUAAGAAAACUGAUUUCUGUAAACACUCAAACGUAAGCUAGAUUAGCAGUUUUGAAAAUAUGGCACAGAAUUAUUGUCAGAAAUGUUCAAAUUAUUGCAUAAAAUGUCAUGAAAAAAAUAAGUAUAU